AGCCCCUGUAUCCAACCUGGCCUUGAACACUGCCAGGGAUGGGGCAGCCACAGCUUCUCUGGGCACCCUGUGCCAGCGCCUCAGCACCCUCACAGGGAAGAGCUUCUGCCUAAGAGCUCAUCUCCAUCUCCCCUCUGGCAGUUUAUCCCUGUAAAUCCCCUCGUGUGUGUUGGCAAAGCAGGGCUUUGUGGCACUGGGUCGUAGCACUUGGUUCAGGUCCUGAAGCUCCACCAUUGGCGCUGCUUGGAGUAUGUGAGUACCUGUACCCCUUGGAGAUGUGCCUCCAUUGUAGCCCACCCAUGUUACACUGCACAUGGAUGCUGUCCUCCUCAUGCUUCUUGGCUUUUCAGCAGGCAAAGUCCUGUGGAGCAGAAUGUUGGGAGGAUUGAUGGUGGCUUUCAGUGCCGGCUUCCUACAGGCACUGGGCCGUGUCCUUAUCUCGGAAUGAAUGGCACUUUAUUGACCCAAGUCCCUGCUGCUCUCCUACCAGGAAGUCUUCUUGGUAGGAACACCCCUGCAGACCUUCCCCAGCCAUGCACCCAAACCAGUGCCAGAGGGGACCUUGACAGGAAGGAGGCCUUGUCUCUCCCUCUGCCAGCCUGUGCUGCGCUGGAGCCUGAUCGCAGCCGGGGCUUGGAGCGGCUCAUGGGGAGCUUUUCCAGCUCUCUGUAAGCUGGGAAAGGCAGCUUUGGGGGGGGGGGGCUUCCUGUGGGAUGGGGCAGGGGGAGGGUGGCCAUUCUGCAAGCAGAGGUUUCAGUUUUGCAGGAACUGUUGAAUAAAUCCAUCUCUUGCUGGAAAA